GCCGUUGCAAUUGCAAUCCAUCGACCAAGAACGCAAUGCGAUGCGAUGCGAGCAAGAACGAACAAUGUGAUGCAAAGAUUCUAGAAGAUGAGGAAAAUGGAUGGCCGGCCGUACCGUCGCCAUCUUUGUCGAAGAGGCUGAACGCCUCCCGGAACUCCUCGAUCUGUUUCUUGAUUCACAGGCAACUCUGGACGGGCGGAGGCAAAUUCGUGUUGAUCGAGGAAAGGCCAAGCUGAAAUUCCCCUCUCUGUUGCUCUGGUGUUCGCGCUCUUGCGUUUGGCUAAAAUAAGGAGUCUGGGCGAAUUAUAUACCUGCUCACAAAUAACAAACCUUUUUUUUUGGUUUAUUUUAUUAUUACCCAGAAAAACCUUUUGGAACUUUGAUUCUGGGUAGCUAUGAGUUCAGAAACAUUAGUAAAUUAUGAUGUUCUAAUAAAACAUAAGUAUUUUUAGUC